ensembl:lncRNA
CGUCAUCUGAGGGGGUUAAGUAAGAACGGUCUUCCGAACGUCGAUUACUCAAAAUGGAUUACUCAAUCAUUAUUUAAGGAUUCGAGUAGUAAGCCAAGUAUUUAGUAGGUAGUAAGUAAUUAGUAAGUCAUUUCGAACACACCCUUAGUUUGUCCAAAAAAAUACUUAGGGAAAUGCAGUAUGCCAAAAAUACCAGGAUGUUGUACUUACUACAUACGGUCGCAAUUCGCAGUAUGCAAGCAAUUUAGGCUCUUCUUACCCACAAUCCUCUGCAGCAUAAGAUACAUGGGCAGCACUACAGGUGGGCUGAUAAGUGACAUCACUUGCAUGUUUUGUAUGCUUGCAAGAUGGGUGCAGCAGUGCCUACUGUAGAGUAGCUGCAGCACCGUAGGCGCACAAGAAAAAGGAUGCGAUUUGGAGUUAAAAAAACAGCCUUGUGUUUUCAACCAGAGCCGCACACUUAAUGAGUUCAGUGAAUCACAUCCUGUCGGAUCCCAGCGCUCACCGCAGACCUGUUGACGCUGCAGAGCCACGACCACCCUGACGUUUAUAAAGUUGAUCAAACUCUCUACAGUGGAUUAGAAAUUAAAGACACACAUGAACCGGGACCGAGUCCAGAAGAGGGACCCCGUCCACCGGACCGGACCCCCCCCUGGCUCCGAUCCGAGCCGUCCACGUGACAGCAAACCAGGCAGCAGCACGCACACACAGCACAGCUCGGUUCGACGUCGCCGGUACCGGAGCCGGAGCCAGCGCACACACAAACCCACCCACGGCAGCAGCACGGCGGCCAUGGACGGCUACGCGCGAGCGGAGGACGAGUCCUUCCCCCCACGGCUCGUGAGCCUCACCUGGGAGGACCCCCUGGAGCAGAUCUGGCGUGGAACCCGAGACCGCGGGCCACCUGACCCUCCUCGCCGUUCUCCAGGAAGCAGAAACGCGCGCCGUGUUUACCCUGCCGAUGACCUGCUCGUGAGAAUCUGACCCCUGACCCCGGGCUGACCUCAGAGCCCAGACGCGGAAACCCGACGGCAACAUGAGAUCAGAAGGACGUUCCGCCAGCGCAUGAGCAGAAAAAAAGAUAUACAGCGUCCCCCUGUGAGGCGCCAUCUUGGUUCGCAUGCGGCUUGGUAGGAAGCCACUCGUGGUGCGACCGCACAGUGCCCCCUCCUCUGGCCUCCGCCCCGGUUGUAAUUGCGUCGCCUGCAGGAUCAGCAAGUAUCUGUAUCAGCAAGCAGCAGAUUUGAAGUGCAGGGCAUCAGAUUCCUGGGUAAUUUCGUGCUGCACGGUAUUAAACGAUUUCCAC